GACGAACGCUGGCGGCGUGCCUAAUACAUGCAAGUCGAGCGAGCUUGCCUAGAUGAAUUUGGUGCUUGCACCAAAUGAAACUAGAUACAAGCGAGCGGCGGACGGGUGAGUAACACGUGGGUAACCUGCCCAAGAGACUGGGAUAACACCUGGAAACAGAUGCUAAUACCGGAUAACAACACUAGACGCAUGUCUAGAGUUUAAAAGAUGGUUCUGCUAUCACUCUUGGAUGGACCUGCGGUGCAUUAGCUAGUUGGUAAGGUAACGGCUUACCAAGGCAAUGAUGCAUAGCCGAGUUGAGAGACUGAUCGGCCACAUUGGGACUGGGACACGGCCCAAACUCCUACGGGAGGCAGCAGUAGGGAAUCUUCCACAAUGGACGCAAGUCUGAUGGAGCAACGCCGCGUGAGUGAAGAAGGGUUUCGGCUCGUAAAGCUCUGUUGGUAGUGAAGAAAGAUAGAGGUAGUAACUGGCCUUUAUUUGACGGUAAUUACUUAGAAAGUCACGGCUAACUACGUGCCAGCAGCCGCGGUAAUACGUAGGUGGCAAGCGUUGUCCGGAUUUAUUGGGCGUAAAGCGAGUGCAGGCGGUUCAAUAAGUCUGAUGUGAAAGCCUUCGGCUCAACCGGAGAAUUGCAUCAGAAACUGUUGAACUUGAGUGCAGAAGAGGAGAGUGGAACUCCAUGUGUAGCGGUGGAAUGCGUAGAUAUAUGGAAGAACACCAGUGGCGAAGGCGGCUCUCUGGUCUGCAACUGACGCUGAGGCUCGAAAGCAUGGGUAGCGAACAGG
rnacentral:rRNA from 1 species